ACGGUAGCACAGGGGAGCUUGCUCUCCGGGUGACGAGUGGCGGACGGGUGAGUAAUGUCUGGGGAUCUGCCCGAUGGAGGGGGAUAACUACUGGAAACGGUAGCUAAUACCGCAUAACCUCGAAAGAGCAAAGUGGGGGACCUUCGGGCCUCACACCAUCGGAUGAACCCAGAUGGGAUUAGCUAGUAGGUGGGGUAACGGCUCACCUAGGCGACGAUCCCUAGCUGGUCUGAGAGGAUGACCAGCCACACUGGAACUGAGACACGGUCCAGACUCCUACGGGAGGCAGCAGUGGGGAAUAUUGCACAAUGGGCGCAAGCCUGAUGCAGCCAUGCCGCGUGUAUGAAGAAGGCCUUCGGGUUGUAAAGUACUUUCAGCGGGGAGGAAGGGAUGAAGGUUAAUAACCUUCGUCAUUGACGUUACCCGCAGAAGAAGCACCGGCUAACUCCGUGCCAGCAGCCGCGGUAAUACGGAGGGUGCAAGCGUAAUCGGAAUUACUGGGCGUAAA
rnacentral:rRNA from 1 species